rnacentral:rRNA from 1 species
UGGGGAAUCUUGCGCAAUGGGCGAAAGCCUGACGCAGCCAUGCCGCGUGUAUGAUGAAGGUCUUAGGAUUGUAAAAUACUUUCACCGGUGAAGAUAAUGACUGUAGCCGGAGAAGAAGCCCCGGCUAACUUCGUGCCAGCAGCCGCGGUAAUACGAAGGGGGCUAGCGUUGCUCGGAAUUACUGGGCGUAAAGGGAGCGUAGGCGGACAUUUAAGUCAGGGGUGAAAUCCCGGAGCUCAACUCCGGAACUGCCCUUGAUACUGGAUGUCUUGAGUGUGAGAGAGGUAUGUGGAACUCCGAGUGUAGAGGUGAAAUUCGUAGAUAUUCGGAAGAACACCAGUGGCGAAGGCGACAUACUGGCUCAUUACUGACGCUGAGGCUCGAAAGCGUGGGGAGCAAACAGGAUUAGAUACCCUGGUAGUCCACGCCGUAAACGAUGAUUGCUAGUUGUCGGGGAGUUUACUUCUCGGUGACGCAGCUAACGCAUUAAGCAAUCCGCCUGGGGAGUACGGUCGCAAGAUUAA